rnacentral:tRNA from 1 species
UGGGGGUUAGUUUAAAAAAAAUUUUUGAUUUCGACUCAACAGACCCUGAGCCAAACCAGGACCCCUAAC